AGGGCGCAUGGUGGAUGCCUUGGCACUAGGAGCCGAUGAAGGACGGGACUAACACCGAUAUGCUUCGGGGAGCUGUAAGUAAGCUUUGAUCCGGAGAUUUCCGAAUGGGGGAACCCAACUUGUUAUGCAAGUUAUCACCUAAUGAAUAUAUAGUUAGGUUGAAGGUAGACGUUGUGAACUGAAACAUCUCAUUAGCAACAGGAAUAGAAAGAAAAAUCGAUACCGUCAGUAGCGGCGAGCGAAAUCGGUAGAGCCCAAACCAAAGUGCUUGCACUUUGGGGUUGUAGGACUGACAUUGUGGAGUUACAAAGUUAACAUUUAGCAGAAUCAGCUGGGAAGCUGAGCGAGACAGGGUGAUAGCCCCGUAUGCGAAAAGUGUUGACCUCCCGUCAGGAUCCUGAGUACGGCCGGACACGUGAAAUCCGGUCGGAAUCCGCGAGGACCAUCUCGCAAGGCUAAAUACUCCCUAGUGACCGAUAGUGAACCAGUACCGUGAGGGAAAGGUGAAAAGCACCCCGGGAGGGGAGUGAAACAGUUCCUGAAACCAUGUGCCUACAAGCUGUCGGAGCACAUUUACGUGUGACGGCGUGCCUCUUGCAGAAUGAACCGGCGAGUCAUGAUUGCGUGCAAGGUUAAGGUGGAAAAACCGGAGCCGCAGCGAAAGCGAGUCUGAAAUGGGCGUACGAAGUACGCAGUUAUGUACCCGAAACCAGGUGACCUACCCAUGUCCAGGUUGAAGGUGCGGUAAAACGCACUGGAGGACCGAACCCGUAUCAGUUGAAAAUGGUUGGGAUGAGGUGUGGGUAGCGGUGAAAUUCCAAACGAACUUGGAGAUAGCUGGUUCUCUCCGAAAUCUCUUUAGGGGGAGCCUCGAGGUUUAGAAUCAUGGAGGUAGAGCACUGUUUGGACUAGGGGCCCGUCAUGGGUUACUGACUUCAGAUAAACUCCGAAUGCCAUUGAUUUUUACUCGGGAGUCACACGGUGAGUGAUAAGAUCCAUCGUGGAAAGGGGAACAGCCCAGAUCAUCAGCUAAGGUCCCUAAAUAUAUGCUAAGUGGAAAAGGAUGUGGAAUUGCACAGACAACUAGGAUGUUGGCUCAGAAGCAGCCAUCAUUUAAAGAGUGCGUAAUAGCUCACUAGUCGAGUGACUCUGCGCCGAAAAUGUACCGGGGCUAAGCAUAUUACCGAAGCUAUGGAUGCAUCCAUCAGGAUGCGUGGUAGGAGAGCGUUCCAAGGGCGAUGAAGUCAGACCGUAAGGACUGGUGGAGCGCUUGGAAGUGAGAAUGCCGGUAUGAGUAGCGAAAGACAGGUGAGAAUCCUGUCCACCGAAUGACUAAGGUUUCCUGGGGAAGGCUCGUCCUCCCAGGGUUAGUCGGGACCUAAGUCGAGGCCGAGAGGCGUAGACGAUGGACAACAGGUUGAUAUUCCUGUACCAGUUGAUUGUGCUUGAGUGAUGGAGUGACGCAGAAGGCUAAGCGAUCCGGACGAUUGGAAGUGUCCGGCCAAGCAGCAAGUCAGUUGAUGAGUCAAAUGCUUAUCAGCGGGUUGACAAGCUGUGACGGGGAGCGAAAUUAUAGUAGCGAAGUCGUUGAUGUCACGCUGCCGAGAAAAGCUUCUAGCGAAUAAUCAACUGCCCGUACCGCAAACCGACACAGGUAGUCGAGGAGAGUAUCCUAAGGUGAGCGAGAGAACUCUCGUUAAGGAACUCGGCAAAAUGACCCCGUAACUUCGGGAGAAGGGGUGCUGAGCGCAAGCUCAGCCGCAGUGAAUAGGCCCAGGCGACUGUUUAUCAAAAACACAGGUUUCUGCAAAAUCGUAAGAUGAAGUAUAGGGGCUGACGCCUGCCCGGUGCUGGAAGGUUAAGAGGAUGGGUUAGCGUAAGCGAAGCUCAGAAUUGAAGCCCCAGUAAACGGCGGCCGUAACUAUAACGGUCCUAAGGUAGCGAAAUUCCUUGUCGGGUAAGUUCCGACCCGCACGAAAGGCGUAACGAUCUGGGCACUGUCUCAACGAGAGACUCGGUGAAAUUAUAGUACCUGUGAAGAUGCAGGUUACCCGCGACAGGACGGAAAGACCCCAUGGAGCUUUACUGUAGCUUGAUAUUGAGUGUUUGUGCAGCUUGUACAGCAUAGGUAGGAGCCGUAGAUACCGGGACGCUAGUUUCGGUGGAGGCGUCAUUGGGAUACUACCCUCGUUGUAUGACCACUCUAACUCGCACCACUAAGCGUGGUGGAAGACAGUGUCUGGCAGGCAGUUUGACUGGGGCGGUCGCCUCCUAAAAGGUAACGGAGGCGCCCAAAGGUU
rnacentral:rRNA from 1 species